rnacentral:rRNA from 1 species
CAGUCGCCGCGGGAAAACGUAGGGUGCAAGCGUUAAUCGGAAUUACUGGGCGUAAAGCGUGCGCAGGCGGUUCGCUAAGACAGAUGUGAAAUCCCCGGGCUCAACCUGGGAAUGGCAGUGGAUACUGGCUCGCUAGAGUGUGUCAGAGGAUGGUGGAAUUCCCGGUGUAGCGGUGAAAUGCGUAGAGAUCGGGAGGAACAUCAGUGGCGAAGGCGGCCAUCUGGGACAACACUGACGCUGAGGCACGAAAGCGUGGGGAGCAAACAGGAUUAGAUACCCCAGUAGUCCCUGUCUCUUAUAC